rnacentral:lncRNA from 1 species
CUGCAGAAGAAGAAAUCCAGAUCUUUAGAGAUAGCUGUUUGGUGUAUUUUGAGUUAUGAAUGAUAUGUCCCAUAUGAAGAUUUAAAGAAUGCUACCUUUAAAUGUCUUUUUAAAUGUCUAGAAAAUGUGCUGAUAAGGAGGGCUUCAACAUCCUUACAAAGUUCUUUGGUGUCUGUUCUUCAUAGGCCUGGGAUGAUGAUGGCAGUGGCUGUCAUUGACCUUCAGCUUUCUUAUUUCAAUGGGUUUAAUUCUAAUCCUGAGGUGGCAGAUGCAGUGACUGGGUGGACAUAGGAUGAGACUGACAAUUACAGCAUUUUUAUCUUCAGGGAUAAUUAUUAACAGCUUUUGAAGUCCACCAUUUCUCCACAUCUGAAAAUCAAAGUACUUUUUCUGUUACAUUUUAAUCUGACAUGAAUGAGCAACUUCCUGCUGUUUUAGGACAGGUCCUCAAUAGUACUUUUAAAGCCUUAGGAGCUUUCAAUAUCAUCAGCAUUCUCAUCAUUUUGGGAGACAAAUUGAUAUCUCCCUUAGAAAUGACCAAAUUGAGUGCCAUCUGUUACAAUGAAGGGCUACUUCAAGGAGAACUUUUAUUGAAUGCUCUGCCCUCAAAAACCAUCACUGACAUGCAGCAGAAUUUUUUUUGGCAAAUUAUAUAAGCAGAAAGUGAUUGUAACUCAAACUAGAAGAAAGUAUAACAGAUAUUCCUGGAAACCGAAGAAUAUUUUAAUCAUCAAAUAAUGAAACAGAGGCAUCUAGAGUAAAGCCCUCUCGGAAAUAAUUAAUAGCACGUGGGCAAUGAUUUUUUAAAUGCUUUUUUAUUUAUUUCAUUGACAUUAGUUCUUAUAUUUGACAUCUUCUGUGUGACUAAUUCUACAGUAGAUUAUCAUCCUUUAAAAUGCAAAUAAUUUUUAAGUAAGCUAACGGUAUAAUAAGAUGUACACUAACAAUCCUUAAUUAAUAAACAUAAUCUUAAAAGUUUCAUUUAAACUUGUUAAACAUUUAAAAUAAACACUGUCUAGCACCUUUUCCUGCUACAUAUGGAGAAUCCUAUACAUAACUUUACUUUUAAAAAUUAUUUAUAUCUGAAAGAGAAAAGUAGUAUACUAAUCAGUUUUUCUAGUAAGUAUAUAUGAACUACUUUCAAAGAAAUAAACAAGAACAGAGUUCUAUAAGCACACUAUAGAUCCUGCUUCUUCAAAACUUACUCUGUAGGAUCUUAAUGUUAGUAGUAUUUGACUAGCUAUGACGUGUGGGUAUAUACC